AAAGACUUAGUCCUAACCUUACCAUUAAUUAUUACUAAACAUAUACAUGCAAGUAUCAGCGCUCCAGUGUAAAUGCCCUCAAAACCUUACAACUCAGGUAAGAGGAGCUGGUAUCAGGCACACCACACAUGUUGCCCAUAACACCUUGCUAUGCCACACCCCCACGGGUACUCAGCAGUAAUUAACUUUAAGCAAUAAGCGAAAGCUUGACUUAGUUAUAGUAAUUUAGGGCCGGUAAAUCUUGUGCCAGCCACCGCGGUCAUACAAGAGGCCCAAAUUAAUGGUAUUCGGCGUAAAGAGUGGGGAUAUGCUAUCUUAUUAAACUAGGACCAAAGUGCAACCAAGCUGUCAUAAGCAUAAGAUGUACCUAAAACCCCCAUAAAAAUGAUCCUAGCAUUAUUAAAGACCUAUUAUAACCCACGAAAGCUAAGAGACAAACUGGGAUUAGAUACCCCACUAUGCUUAGCCCUAAAUCUAGAUGCUUACAUUACUAAAGCAUCCGCCUGAGAACUACGAGCACAAACGCUUAAAACUCUAAGGAUUUGGCGGUGCCCUAA
rnacentral:rRNA from 1 species